rnacentral:rRNA from 1 species
AGUGAACGCUGGCGGUAGGCCUAACACAUGCAAGUCGAACGGCAGCACAGUAAGAGCUUGCUCUUACGGGUGGCGAGUGGCGGACGGGUGGGGAAUACAUCGGAAUCUACUUUUUCGUGGGGGAUAACGUAGGGAAACUUACGCUAAUACCGCAUACGACCUACGGGUGAAAGCAGGGGAUCUUCGGACCUUGCGCGAUUGAAUGAGCCGAUGUCGGAUUAGCUAGUUGGCGGGGUAAAGGCCCACCAAGGCGACGAUCCGUAGCUGGUCUGAGAGGAUGAUCAGCCACACUGGAACUGAGACACGGUCCAGACUCCUACGGGAGGCAGCAGUGGGGAAUAUUGGACAAUGGGCGCAAGCCUGAUCCAGCCAUACCGCGUGGGUGAAGAAGGCCUUCGGGUUGUAAAGCCCUUUAGUUGGGAAAGAAAAGCAGCAGGUUAAUACCCCGCUGUUCUGACGGUACCCAAAGAAUAAGCACCGGCUAACUUCGUG